GAUGAACGCUAGCUACAGGCUUAACACAUGCAAGUCGCGGGGCAGCAUGGGGGUUGCUUGCACUCCCCGAUGGCGACCGGCGCACGGGUGAGUAACGCGUAUCCAACCUGCCCUUCACCACGGGAUAACCCGGCGAAAGUCGGACUAAUACCGUAUGUUGUCCAUUGACGGCAUCCGAUUUGGACGAAAGGUUUGGCGGUGAAGGAUGGGGAUGCGUCCGAUUAGCUGGACGGCGGGGUGACGGCCCACCGUGGCGACGAUCGGUAGGGGUUCUGAGAGGAAGGGCCCCCACACUGGAACUGAGACACGGUCCAGACUCCUACGGGAGGCAGCAGUUAGGAAUAUUGGGCAAAGGGCGGUAGCCUGAACCAGCCAAGUAGCGUGCAGGAUGACGGCCCUAUGGGGUGUAAACUGCUUUUAUGCGGGGAUAAAGUGGCCCACGUGUGGGUUUUUGCAGGUACCGCAUGAAUAAGGACCGGCUAAUUCCGUG
rnacentral:rRNA from 1 species